rnacentral:rRNA from 1 species
AGCUUCAGUAGCGUAUAUUAAAGUUGUUGCAGUUAAAAAGCUCGUAGUUGCAUUUCCGAGGCAAGGGAUUAGUCCGACCUUUGGUGGGUAUUUAAUCCUCUUGCCUCGUCCUUGAGUGGUGCUUCUUGGUAUUAAGUUAUCGAGGAGAUAGCCGCUCAUCGUUUACUGUGAGAAAAUUAGAGUGUUCAAAGCAGGCUUAUGCCGUUGAAUAUAUUAGCAUGGAAUAAUAAGAUAGGACCUCGGUACUAUUUUGUUGGUUUGAGAACCAAGGUAAUGAUGAAUAGGGACAGUUGGGGGUAUUCGUAUUCAGUUGUCAGAGGUGAAAUUCUUAGAUUUACGGAAGACGAACUACUGCGAAAGCAUUUACCAAGGAUGUUUUCA